rnacentral:rRNA from 1 species
GACGAACGCUGGCGGCGUGCUUAACACAUGCAAGUCGAACGGAAAGGCCCUGCUUUUGUGGGGUGCUCGAGUGGCGAACGGGUGAGUAACACGUGAGUAACCUGCCCUUGACUUUGGGAUAACUUCAGGAAACUGGGGCUAAUACCGGAUAGGAGCUCCUGCUGCAUGGUGGGGGUUGGAAAGUUUCGGCGGUUGGGGAUGGACUCGCGGCUUAUCGGCUUGUUGGUGGGGUAGUGGCUUACCAAGGCUUUGACGGGUAGCCGGCCUGAGAGGGUGACCGGCCACAUUGGGACUGAGAUACGGCCCAGACUCCUACGGGAGGCAGCAGUGGGGAAUAUUGCACAAUGGGCGGAAGCCGGAUGCAGCAACGCCGCGUGUGGGAUGACGGCCUUCGGGUUGUAAACCGCUUUCGCCUGUGACGAAGCGUGAGUGACGGUAAUGGGUAAAGAAGCACCGGCUAACUACGUG